rnacentral:hammerhead_ribozyme from 1 species
ACCCCGCUGAUGAGUCGCAAAUAUGAUGAAACGUGCGUCCUGGAU